rnacentral:tRNA from 2 species
CAAGAAAUAGUUUAAGUAAAAUAAUAACAUUGGAAGUUAUAGAUUAAAAUUAAUUUAUUUUUUGA